rnacentral:sRNA from 2 species
GAAACCGUGUCGCUCAACCGUCCACGGCAGGAGCGGGGGACCCACAGGUACGACGCCUGUCCGGACUCCGGAACAGGCUUGGGGUAAAGCCGUGCGCACCACGCGGCCGGGCAUCUCCUGCCCGCACCCGACAGCUCACCUCGUAGGCGCGGGAGAGGAAUU